UACAGAGGGGGCAAGCGUUGUUCGGAAUUACUGGGCGUAAAGGGCGCGUAGGCGCCUGCUAAGUCGAACGUGAAAUCCCCGGGCUCAACCCGGGAACUGCGUCCGAUACUGACAGGCUUGAAUCCGGGAGAGGGAUGUGGAAUUCCAGGUGUAGAGGUGAAAUUCGUAGAUAUUCGCAAGAACACCCGUGGCGAAAGCGGCUCUCUGGAACGGUACUGACGCUGAGACGCGAAAGCGUUGGGGAGCGAACAGG
rnacentral:rRNA from 1 species